UAAACUCACUAAACGUAUAUUAGUUUGACAUAAAGAAAUGAUUUUAUUAUUCUAAAAUUAUAAUUCUACACUUUGAAAGUUUUAAUUUAUGAUCACAGAUAUACAUGUAUAUAACAAAACUACUAAAAAUAAAUAACUUUUAAAAAUUCCUAAUAAAAAAAAUCUUAAAAAUAAAUUUAUGUCGAUGCAAUUUCAUCGUGUUUAAUCAAACGAAUUCAUGAGAUGACAAAAGUAAACAACGUCAAGAAAAACAUUUAUCAGUACUUCACUCUCCCCAAGCCCCACUUGAACACUUUCGUUGUCAAGCUGUGGUAAGUGGAGUGUUUGUCGUCAAGUCAUUAAAGUUGUUAUAAUGUUUUUAACAGAGACACAAACAUUACAAUAAAAAAAACGUUUAAUAAAAAUAAAUUUGAAUGCAUAAAUCUGUAUGUA